UGCACACACACACACACCCGGGCUGACUCCUUCCCUCACGCGCUUCUACUAUCCACUUUCGCCUGAGACCGCAGCAAACCCAGGGCUUUGUUUUUUUUGUUCUUUUUUAUUUGCUUGCUUUGGGUUUUUCCCUCAUGUACAGAGAGACUAGACCCACUUCACCCUUACUCUGCAGAGAGAGUGCCCCUGAAAACAGGCCCUGGAUUGUUCAUGCAUCAGACUGCAUGCUACUAAUUGAUUUGUGCAUUUACGCCUCGCUAUUAUUUUUGCUCUUUCUAAAAAAAAAAAAAUUGCUCGCUAACUUUCAUUUUGUAUUCAGUCCACUUCGACAAAUUUCUUCACAUACCCAUUCUGGAAGAGGGGACGAAGAAAAGAAGAGAAUGCUUGCGGAAUGCACAGAUGAAAGGGGACAGCAAAAAUAAAGAGUGAGAAAAUGGAGAGCAUGUUCUGUGGGAGAGCAAGAGAGAUCUGACCUACGCACCCAACAUAGCCACUCCCAUUCCAUAUAGCCCAAGACCUGAAAGAAAUAGCACUGGACAAGGUCAGCCUAUGCUUUGUUGUUUCGGGAAUGCUGUGGUCUACUCUUGUCUUGAGUCUGUGGGAACUCCCCACUAAGGAGGAACUAUGGGAAGAAUUUCAGUUCAGCCUCAGUGAGGUAAUAUCUCCAGCAAGUUUGGAGUUUAAGAGAUGAGCCAUUAUGAGGUGGAGCCGUCCACCAACCCAAGAACACACUCAACACUAUAGUAUCCAAACUAGUGUCAGAUUGACUCUUACUUUCAGGGGACGUCAUAAAUGCCAUGAGCAACCAAUGGGAUACCACUGGAGGGGCAUUCCCUAUUGUCCGGAUUUGUGCUCUGACCACUAAUAUGGUCCAAUAAGAAGAACGCUAAGGGUCAUGACCAACGUUCCCUCUUGCAGCGCAUCUCCCCGGACUGCCGCGCACAACAAAUACAGUAUCAGCCCAUGGAGAGAAGCAUGAAAUUGAAGUUCACUCAACUUUCUUUCUACAGUUUUCCCUGUUAGGUAACACCACCAAUGUUUCCCUUUACUGUGGCAAUUGUGAUCGAAUCAACGCAAUAUUAGCCACUUUCAAUGCAAAUCUAAUUAUCCAAUAGAUUUUGUUGUUGGCAGAACGCAUAGGAGAAGGAUUAUAUUGCAUUGACACGCACGACUCAGCCCAUACUCUACACACAUACCAGUGCGGCGUAACCAAUCAGAGCUGCAGUAGGCCUAUAUGCAAAUAGAUCAUUGCCAUUUAUGGAUCUGUGCCAUUUACUUUGGACUGUUAACGGCAUGAGCGGUUGUGAGUAGAUGCGCUUCUUUUGAGAUCAGAGCGAGAGAACAUUUUGUUAAUAUCAUUGGCUAGUUAGUGAGUCAUUAGCCCAGUUAUAGAUCAUGUGUAGUCAGCAAUAGGGGACUAACUGCUUCCUACAAGAGCACAAAACGUGUACAUUUCUAGACAUCUUUGAAAAGGGAGUCAGGUGAAGAGCUUUUUUUUGUUCUUGAAGGGGCAGUGUUGUAUUUUGAGACAGGCUUGAAUAAGCUAAGUAGCCAAUAAACAGAGGGUAGCAUAAUUGGUUUGAUUCUCUGUAAUAAAGGCAUGGAAAUAAUAAUACA